rnacentral:tRNA from 1 species
GCCUGGGUGGCUCAGUCGGUUAAGCGUCUGACUUUGGCUCAGGUCAUGAUCUCGCGGUCCGUGGGUUCGAGCCCCGCGUCGGGCU